UGGGGAAUAUUGGACAAUGGGCGGAAGCCUGAUCCAGCCAUGCCGCGUGUGUGAAGAAGGUCUUCGGAUUGUAAAGCACUUUAAGUUGGGAGGAAGGGCAGUAAGCGAAUACCUUGCUGUUUUGACGUUACCGACAGAAUAAGCACCGGCUAACUCUGUGCCAGCAGCCGCGGUAAUACAGAGGGUGCAAGCGUUAAUCGGAAUUACUGGGCGUAAAGCGCGCGUAGGUGGUUCGUUAAGUUGAAUGUGAAAGCCCCGGGCUCAACCUGGGAACUGCAUCCAAAACUGGCGAGCUAGAGUAGGGCAGAGGGUGGUGGAAGUUCCUGUGUAGCGGUGAAAUGCGUAGAUAUAGGAAGGAACACCAGUGGCGAAGGCGACCACCUGGGCUCAUACUGACACUGAGGUGCGAAAGCGUGGGGAGCAAACAGG
rnacentral:rRNA from 1 species